ACGGGUGAGUAACACGUGGAUGAUCUACCCAUCAGUAUGGAAUACCAGUUGGAAACGACUGUUAAUACCGUAUACGAUCUUUUUUCAAAACAAGGUGAAAGGCGGCCUCUGCUUGCAAGCUGUCGCUGAUGGAUGAGUCCGCGCCUCAUUAGGUAGUUGGUAGGGUAACGGCCUACCAAGCCAACGAUGAGUAGCCGGCCUGAGAGGGUAAUCGGCCACACUGGGACUGGAACACGGCCCAG
rnacentral:rRNA from 1 species